AAAUAAGAAACAAUUUUUGUAUUUAGUUUCGACCUAAAAUUUGGUGGCGGACACCCUUAUUUA
rnacentral:tRNA from 1 species